CUAGACAAAGACACCCGCGGCAAGUACAGGAACAGGAUCAUCAGCGUCAGCGAGCGACACAAAGACGUGGAUACCAACCGAGGAGACGACGACCCACCGCACAUGCCGAGGAAGGGGCCACCGCCGACCGAAAUCAGACGGGAAUACAGACACGCUCGCAGGUGCCCAUGCGGACUAGCUUAUGGAGGUGAGGAGAUCGCAUCUCAAAACAUAAGUCUGACAUUCGAUGCCAUAAAACUGAACUUCCCAUCCCAUGUCACUUCAUCUCCGUGAAGCAUCAUAUCAAUCAACUUUAAUUUCAAGUUUUGGAACACGUACCGAUGGCAAGAAGAGGAGGCCUUAAGUAUACUACCUUGAUUAAUGUGGACUUGAGAU